UUGCAUCUUGUUCUGGUGGUGUCCGCGAGAUCCAAAUAGACACGACGACGGGAAGGAAGCUCGUGAAGAAGGAGAAGAUUCAGGUCUCAGGUGAGAUCGAUGGGGAAGAUGGCUCGCUACACAAUUAUAUCUGGGAAUUUAGAGUUGUUAGUUUACCGUGCUGCUUUCUUUUUUGUGGGUAGAUCUAAUGUCUCUACGUAUAAUAGAUACCGAGUGUAUGCUGGUGGUUCUUUCCAUUCUUUUGAGGUCGUGGGUGCCAUGUAAAUGUUUGUGGAUUCCUUAUGUUUUUGCCUCCUGCGGUAAAUAAAAGCUAAUGCAGAUUCGUGGUCGACUGCUCCUAUGUUCGUCUUGAUGAUAUAGAUGCCGUCUACUGCUUCUCUUCAGAUCUGAAGAGCUCAACCAUCUUUCCAGUUGCUACCAGCUAAUGGUCCAUGCAGCUCACAAUAGCUGGUGGAGCUAGCUAAUGAGGGUUUUGUUUUCCUUUCGUAGAGGCUUGAUACCACAGAUGACACGCAUUAUAUUAUAAUUAUGGAAAGCAGUUCCGUAUGAUGGAACUGCUGCUCAAACAAAUAAAAUAAUGAUGAACAGGCUUCGAUGGACUCUAGUGUUGGUGCAUCAACGAGGUACUAGAAGAAAAAUAAUAAGAACGUGUCGGUGUAUUAGCAAAGAAGGAGAAAAACAAUAAAAAAAUAGAGAAGAAGAAGAAGCAGAGACAAUUCACACACGAAAAUUUGCACAUUUCUUUACAAGUUGGGCGUAUGUUGUUUCUCAAGCUACAUCUUUUCCAAAAAGGCUCGUCGCCCCGCCUUAUAAAUAAAGCAUCACCGUCUUUCGCCCUUUUUUUGGUAGAUUUUUCAAGCGUUUUGUGUUUAGGGUGUUUCGGAAAAGUGACAUUAGAGCAGAAAGUAACGAACGAGUAGGCGCGGUUCGGAGCAUUGGUGAAGCGUCGCGACGAGGAGAACAGGUAGGAGGUCCAAAUCUGUGGCAUAAUUAAGGGUUACAUGUGCGCCACCAGAAACGAAUGAUUGGAAACAUGGCACACACGAAUUCAGGCAGUGUACUUGUGGUUUACUGGUUCUAGUACUAGCUUACAGCUUUCUGAUGGAGAGAUAGAAAGUAAUGGGCGCUGACGUGCUGGCAUGCACAAGCUCGCUAUGUUCUGAAUCCAACAAAAUGUGAGUUCACUACUGUGUUCUGAAUCCAACGAAUAUCGCGGGGAAGGAGGACGGCGGUGCAGCUGCUGCUGUCAAUCUUCUUUUUUGACACGCACAACUCAAGCGGACGCGCGCUUUGUCCGCUUUUCGUCCAUUUGGGUCGGCCAGGCGGACGUGUACAUCCAUAUGUGUCGGCUUGAUCGUCCAACGGAAGACGAACCCAAAUCUACCGGCGUAGAAAAAAAACAGAUCACAGAAAUAAACAUAAUUAAACAUUACUAUGACAAGUGCCGCCCGUGCGUUGCACCGGGCGAUAAAAUUAAUAGAACCUGCUCAGCGUGCCAUUCCACAACACUUAACAUAUCCAAUUUUGAUGAACAUCAGAAAUAAGGUAACCCUGAGUAUCCUUUUCCCUCCAUGAAGUAUGAAUGUGAAGAAACCUCCCUAACAUAGUUCAUCAGGAUGUACUGCAGCUCCGCACUUUCAUCUCACACUUUCAUCUGAUGACAAAGUAGUGAUGCACGGAAUAGUCUUUCAUUUGUUUUUUGUUCAGAAUAACACGGUUCUCUCAAUGUAUUUUUUGCAAUUUUUUAGAACAUUAUUUGAAAAUUUUAAAUCAAACAUAAGGACUUGGCCUACACAACACGCACUCUCUCAGAAAAAGAAUACACCUUCUUUUGGUGAGACCAGAACUGCAUGCACUGUCUCUCUUCCGGUUCCUCAUCUCACUAUCCUAGUAAACGCCACCGCCGGCCGCCUUUCCCAAACGCCGGCCGCCCACUCACCCGGCACUCUCCACCGCCACCGGUGUAGAUUCGCCAUUUUCUUUUGUGUUAAUCCCCGGCUACGCCUUGCAAUGCCGCCUCGCUAUUUCGAUCAACGCCGUCCCUUCGUGUUUCUGGUGUGGCGUUGACCUGGACAAUGGCGCGGCUUUCUCCGGUUGUCGUUCCUCGUUGCUAUCUAUGAGGUCCUGCCUCUUUGGGUGAUGCGGUGCUCCGCAUCUGCGCCCGUGGCGGGCUAGUUAGUGCUCAGCUUAGUCGCGCACUACGGCCUACGAUUUUUGACUGGUUAGUCCCGGCUUCCACUCAGCUCCCAAUAUAAAAAGCUACUCUUCUUAUCAAACUAUCUAUGACAAAUUAACAUAAAAAAAUAAGAAGAAGGCAGUACCAGGAGCACUAUAUGACACAUAAAAUUAAUAGAACCUGCAGCAAAAAAGAAGUGUAAUAUACAACACAUACUACAGAAUCAGGAGCGUCUUUUUCAUGGUUACUACUUGCUUGCAUCAAUUUAAAUUGCUACUUGCUGCAAGCUAGAUUCACAAAGGAGCAUUACUCUCUCAACAAUACUGCUGAGUUCAAUUUGUCACCAAUGAAAUAGUACUGCUGAGUUCUCAGAGUGUAGGGCUCAGGAUUUAGAUCGAAACAAAUUGAGAACUGGGAACUAAUUUAUCAAACAACAACUCGGGGUAAUUUCCUUAAAUACUUCUGACUCAUUCACUGGUUAGGGGUGAGAUGAUCCACAACGCAUGUCAAAUACUAUGUGCUCAUGAUACAGUGAACUACCAAAAACUUCAUAAAGCACCUGAGAAAUAAAUUAAUAGUACAGACUACUUUUCAAUUAGGACGUGGGUAACAUGUAAACGUUGUGCCUCCAAAAAUUAUACUAUGUAUCAAAGACUACAUCACUGUCAGGUAUUGCAUGUUCUGUCCACCAAUGUACAAUAUACUAUUAGGCCUGUAGAUCAACCAUGAAUGUAUAUGCGAAAAAUGCAUCUACUGAGGUUACAUGCAUGUCUUCGAUCACGAUCCGCCAUCCCUCUCCCACCUCACCACAGUCAUCAAAGACGAGGCGCGCCUAUGGGCCAAGGCCGGCGCCGCAGGGAUUAGCGACAUCAUUCCCGAGAGUUAGACUUUUUGCGUUUUGGGGAUGAGCAGCCUCUUGUUCUGUCUGCUCCACCGCCCGCGAUCAUGCCUCUAGCGUACAUGGCUUGCGUGUGGUUGUAACCUCUUGCUGUAAACUCUUCUUCUAUCAAUGCAAAGAUACGCAGCUUGCGUAUUCGCGAAAAAAGAGGUUACAUGCAUGUCAUAAGUAGUUACUGUAUGUCUGAACUCAUUUCUUUCCCUUAGGAAAAUUUAAGUUAUAUAUUAAAUCCAAAGGGAUAAACUGUAAGAAGCAACUCUUGCAGAAUUCUUGAUUCCCUAGAAAAAACAACAUACAACAGUUGCUAAUGUUACUGUCAGUCAUACACAUGAAUGUAUCUCUAAUGCAUAGCACUAUAAUUGAGAACCUUUAAUCUUUGUCCUGGAGGAUAUGUUGCUUGCCAUGGAUCUGGGUCUCUCUAGUAAGAAACAUUGCUAUCUCAUCAAGGUUAAUUCGUGCCAAUAAAUACGUCCAAAGAGUGAACUGUAGGAUGCCAAAGCAGCCAAAGCGAGUUGGGGAGGAAGAGAGGUUGCAGACAUAUUUGAAGCAACAAACUGUAGGUCGCCAGAGAACCAGAAAUCAUGAUUUCAAGCCUGCUUGUCCACAUACCUCACGUGUAAAAUCGGCCGACAAAGUUCCGGCAAACUGUGCAACACUGUCGGAUGCCGGAUUGUUUUCCGGCGAAGUCUGAUGAGGCGACAUUGGGCAGUCUUUCGGACGUCAUCUUGUUUUCCGGCGAAGUCAGUGAAGGCGACAUUGGGCGAUCUUCCGGCGAACUCGGCGGGGGGCGAGAUACUUGCAGUCUUGCGAAUUUACUAUGCAAUUUAGCUCGAUUUCCAGUCGAUCCUUUCUUUUUACAGAUUUUAUUGCAUAAAUUCUUUGUGAAAUCCGGAUGAAGGCAUCCAUGGCUCCGUAUUGGUGUAAUUCUCCUACGCGGAUCCGGUCGAAAACAGCACGGCACAGGAGAGAAGCCAGCGGCGGCGAUGUCGUACGCACGCCGUACGCCGUGGGUUCUGUCGUGUGUCCUCGGGCUCGACCGAGCUAGGAAGCAUCCUCAGGGCAAUAUGGGCUGGGAACUAAAAUAGACAUAUGGGCCGCCCGUCCUGGUUUCCUUUGCAUGUACAUCCUCGGCCCUUUGUUUCUCAUUCCCUUUGUUUCUCGUUUCCUUUGCAUGUACGUCAUACGUUUGUCAAACAGACUCUCAAUCAAACCAAAAAAAUAGUGUACGUAAAAAUCAUCGAAACUGGACGAAACAAAGCGAAACCAAACCAAGAAUACCUAUUCCCUUUAAUAGUAGGUAUAGAAAUGGCCGAUCAACCGCCGGCCAAAGUCCACUUAAACCUAAUUAAACAUUAAUUAAAACAAAAAAAAGUCUGCGCCCGCACGCUGCCCUAGACGUCGUCUGCCUUGUCCUUGCCCUUGACGUCGCCAUCGCCAUCGCCGCCGGUGAAGUCAAUGAAGACAGGAGCAGGGCCAGCCCACCCGAACGCCGCUUGGUACAGUGCCAGGGCAGCCUUCUCCGCCGUCUGCUGGGGCGGCGGCAUUGCGGCCCGCCGAGCGCGCUCCUCCUCCUCAAGCCGCAGCGCCUCCACGUCGUGUUGCAGCAGCUGCUCCCAACGCAUCUGCUGCUCGCCGUCGGCCUCCUCCUGGGCGAGCCAGUGCGCCUUCCAGCGCUAUGGUGGGCCGCCUCCUCCUCCGGCGUAGUGGAUCGGAGGUGCGCUCACCCACUCGCGGUACUCGCCGGUCCACGUGUAGGCCUCCUCCGGCCAAGUGGGUGGAGGCGGCGAGCGCUUCCGCGUCGGCUCCGGAUCCGGCUUCGGCUCGACGAUGGGCAGCGGCGGUGGUGGUGGAGGCGGGUCGAAGAGCGGGGCGUGGACGGAGUCCCCUGCCGCCGACAAGGCAAGGGCUUGCUCCAGCCCAUCCCAAUGUGCGUCCUCCUCGAGCCAGCUAGCCUCCAAUGCAUGCUGCAGGGCCUCCUCGAGGGCGGCUUGGUACUCCGCCUCCGCCUCCAUUUCCUCCGGCUCUACCCGCGGGGGCAGCGGUGGAAACUGCGGGGUGUCGUCGACGCCUAGCCACCGUUGCUCCUCGUGUUCGAGGGCAAACCAGGCCUCCCAGUUGGGAGAGUCGGCGGCGUACUCGGAUCCGCCGCUGCGUCGGCGCGAGCUGCGCCCGGCGCCUGCGCACCUCCUCGUUGUGCGCCCGCUAUGUCCGUGGAACCGCCGACACUGGGAUCCGCUACGGAUCGAGGUGCCAAUGGUGCGGCAGCGUCACGUCGGGGUAAGGCAGCGGCUGCUUGUACUCCCAGUGCCACCGCGCUUGGUGCACCGGGAUGUGUAGACGCCGGUGACCUGGGCGGACACGCGCCGGCGGCGGAGGAGGAGGGGGAGGAGGAGCACGGAAGGAUGAGGCACCGGGGGUGCACUUACCCUUGCCGCUGCUGCUGCCGAAGAGGCCCAUUGCUACGGUUUGGGAGUGCCGCCGAUGAGGCACACGCGUGGGUUAAAAAAGGACGCUUCCACUAGCUGACUAGUGGGCCCUCUGUUGGUGGUCGUCAUAAAUUAGACGACGGGCGGUAGUUGGGUGGCCGCCAAAUGGGACCGCGGCAGACACCGAGGAGACGUGCAGCCGCAAAUUUGGGCCGCAAAUGCGUCGGCGCGGACGCGAUUUGGGUUUGGGUCGGCGCGUUGGGCCUCCACUUUUGUCCACGCCGACCCAAACGGAUGCAGGCGGACAAAAUGGGUCGCCCCAUUGGAGUUGCUCUUAAGAUAUUGUUUCAUUCAUUCACAAGCAGCAAUUCAUGGUUCACAAGGACUGGAAUUAUUGCCCGAGGGGCAUCAUCCAUCCAAGUACUAGGAGAAGAUCUAGCUAGACCUGCUAACUCAUGUGAGGCUACAUUAGCCUCUCUAGGACAAUGUCCAUAAAUUACAUGAGUGAAGCCAAGCGACACGAAAUAACAAUCAUCAAAUAAGGCACUCGGGAAGCCCGAGAUGACCCCCCCUGCAACUUCAAGAUUAUCCGAGGCCACAAUCAUUUUGUUGCAUCCAAUUGUAUGGGCCAUGUUUAGCCCAGAUCUCAGUGCAAUGGAUUCGACAGUCAGAGCAUCAAAUAAAUAUUAAUGCGAUCAUUCCCCGCUGCAAUAAACUUACCUGUAUCACCACGAAGAAUAGCUCGAAUAGGAGCUUGGAGUGUAUAAGGAUCAAAACUAGCAUCCACAUUGAGCUUCACAUACCCUCCAAUAGGCUUGGUCCAACCCCAUGCUCCAUCUUAGAUUUCGGGUUGCUAGCUAAUGUGAAUUUUGCAGCCAAAGCUCACACCGCAAGUUGAAUUUGAUUCGGUGCUUGUAUUGGUUCAUCAUGUACAAAAUUUUCUCCGUUCCCACCAUAAGUACGAAGUUGUAGUAGCAAUGAUCUCCUUAAAUUCCGCCAGUCCUAAGACCAAAGCCUCAUGACCAGAGACGUUCAAGAGAUACUCCAAAAUCACCUUGCCAGCCAGAUCAACAACACAAGCACUAUCAAUAACAUCACCUAAGACCCAACAACUUCCAUACUUGAGUAGGCGACACACAUCAAAAGAUAAGAUGCUUCACGUCAUCGGCAGAUAAUUUUCACACUGGGCAUUGGGGAGAAACCUUUAUAUAUUUAUUAAGAUGUCAUGGCAAGGGAUCGCCCCUUUCAAUGUCCUCCAGAGGAAAAUUUUAAUCUUGGCUGGACAGUGCAAGUUCCAUAACCUUUUCCAUGUAUUGUAUAUAUGUUGAAGCUUCGAACAAUUGCUUGUUAGAGAUCUUUUUUUUGCACGCCGGGAGGGGGGGGGGGUGUCAGGACCGGUUUUUCGGGAUAUUAAUUUCCCAGAAAAUGGCCUUUGUGCCCACCAGCCCCAGGAUUACUGUUAGCUGAUGAGGCACCAACUUGAUACAAGAAUUCCAAGCAAAGUACAAAAUAUGUAGUACAAGACCAUUGUGGCCUAUGAGUACAACACUUGGUUUCUAGUGGUUGAUGGCGGAAGCGGUUUGUGGUUCAUCUGCGUCUAUGGAACUCCAUUUCCCACAGGAACAGCUGACCAGGAUAACUCCUAUCUUCACGAGGCUGCUAUCAUCAUUGCGUAGGUUCCGGGGCUGUCACCGCAAUGCUUAUCUCCAUGCGAGGAAUCUGGCCAAGACAAUAGCCAGGGACAAGCCAGUGAGUACUUUGAAUGUACUCGCAAACAUUAUGAACACGGGUAUAAUAUAAUAGUGGGAAAUCAUACUCCGAAAGAUUCUACGAUCAUAACGUCUGUCACUAAAUAAACAAAAAUUCAAGAUGCACGCGUGCAGGUAAAAUAUGAAUGUGCAAUACGGGAGUAGAAAUAGAAUGCACCGAUCGAGUGUCUGAAGCGACGCCCCGAAAGGAUAAUAAGAUAAAAUCAUGCCUCAGUCGGGCGUCUGAGCGACACCACAUAAAGGGCUUAUGAAGAAUAAAUAAAUGACAAACAUGCCGCAGUCGGGCGUCUGAGCGACCUCACAUAAAGGGCUUAUGAAGAAUAAAUAAAUAACAAACAUGCCGCAGUCGGGCGUCUGAGCGACACCGCAUAAAGGGCUUAUAAAGAAUAAAUAAAUAACAAGCAUGCCACAGUCGGGCGUCUGAGCGACACCACAUAAAGGGCUUAUAAAUAAAUAAAUAACAAGCAUGCCGCAGUCGGGCGUCUGAGCGACACCACAUAAAGGGCUUAUAAAUGAUAAUCGCAGUGAGUAGCCCGGAGGUAGAACCGUCCCAGGGAUACUCAAUAAUUCAAAUAAUGUAAAUGGUUAGUCCACAAUAAUAAUAAAAAAAUCCUCACAUGACACAGGUCAUAAUCCAUGUUCUAGUUUAGCCGUUUCUCCAUCCGAAGACCGUCACUAUGCUCUAGUUUAGCCGUUUCUCCAUCCGAAGACCGUUACUAUGUUCUAGUUUAGCCGUUUCUUCAUCCGAAUACCGUUACUAUGCUCCAGUCUAGCCGUUUCUCCAUCCGAAAACCGUCACUAGACCCAUCUCAGACUGUAGUCCUUACCCAUGGACAUGGCUAUCCGAAUAGAUAUAACCUCUGCAGAGGGUGUACUCUUUACCCACGAGUAACGGAUUUAUUUAGUCCAUCGGGACUAAUUCCGCCUACGGCCUUUUAAUUGAAACACGCCUGACCUGCACACACCAGCUUAACUUACCGGUGUCUGGAAUCACCCACGACACCUGUCAAGCAAAACUCUAAGUGGGGAGGCUACAACCUCGACGUAGCAUGGGAUCAAAUUUAUAUCGCGCGCUCUAAGGGGUGCCCCUCUCGGUCCCAACCGGAAACACCCAUGCCCCCGGACCAGGUGGCAUGCCUACCGGAGGCCUCCGGUAUCUUCCACCAUGGCCUCUCUGUACGGUGUGUGCUUUGGUAAGGGGUUGACAACUUACUGAACCGUACCCUACCUGCGGCAGGGACAAGUGGUAGUACAAAACAAGUAGGGGAAGUUACUGAACAAGACUCGACCUACGGCCGACUUAGGAGGUCCAAGUAUUCUCCGAAUGAUUAGCAUAACCAAUAUAUUUCCAUUAACAGACAGAAUCACCGCUCAUCAAACCUCAUCAUGCCAUACCGGACACACUCGUCUCGACGAGGAACUAGGGACAAGCUCGUGUCUACCCAAGACCACGACUUUCCCGGCUUCCUGCCGGUAUGCAUGAAAAGCUCGCGAGGAUGAUCACUAUCACCAGCAUAUCCAUUUCUAACAAUAAAUCAUCUCCAAUAUGCACUCAUGCGUGUGACUUUAUCGUUACAUAAAAAUAACGUAUUGCUCCAAGUCAAGGUAGUGUUGUAACCGUAUCAAAACACCUCACAAAAAUAUCAUGCCAGAGUUCAGAAUGCUUGCCUUCAAGAGUAUGCAAGGGGGUGCACUUUUUCGAAAGUUUUCUUCUCUCUCCACUUCCUAUUUUGAAAAAUAUUCAAAUAACAAAUAGUUCAAAAACAGUACAAAAAGUUGUCCCAAAUAUUUUUGAAAUAAAUCUUAAAAUAAACUAGAUGAAAUUUGAGAGAGGUAGGAAAAAGAAUCAACUCAUUUGGAGUUUUAUUUUAAAAGAUAUAGCCAGUCAAAGUUCUGUUUUUAAUAAAACCAGAAAAAGAAAACGUUUCGGGGGAAAAUACGCUUUCGAAGCAGAGGAAACAUACUCAGGCGUUUACGCGACCACUUAAACACGUGGUGGCGGGGCUGGGUCACUGACAGUGGGUCCAGCGGGCCCACUGGUCAGGUUUGACUAGUCUCUCCUCCCUCCUCUUCCUCUGCCCGAACGGAGGCGGGACUCCGGCGAUCGCCGCCGGCGAUUGGCGGCUCCUCGCGGGCUCCGGAGGGCAGGGAUGGAUCCGUGGCUCCAGGGCGGUCCUCCCGGUGGUCGAGGGGGCCGUGGGGGUGAAGGGAGUCGCCGGCGACGAGCUCCGCGGCGGAGGAGGUUUCGGGCAUGAUUGGGGGUUUGGGCUGUGGUGGCUCUCGAUCGAAGCUAAGAGGAUGGGCGACUCCAUGAGGUCGAGGGGAAACGGAUGGUGGUGUUGGAGGCACGGGGGAGGGUCUGGUUGCGAUGAAUGGCACCGGAAGGUGGCGGCGGCCGAACCGACCGGAGUCGAGGAAGACGGCUACCAUCCGUCGAAUGCUGGCCGUGGGGGUGCUAUGGGGGUGGCCUAGGGGUCGUCUGAGUGCUCGGAGGGGCUUGGGGUCCUCCUUUUAUAGCGCGACGGGGCUGGUUCCGCGGUGGUGGAUAAGAACGACGGCGAGUCGCCGUUCUGUAGCUGCAGGGCGUCGUGGCGGCGACGAGCGCGUGCCGACGAGCAUGUGGAUGAGCUCGGGCUGUUCACAGGGGCAGCUGGCGCGCGCGGGUGGCUUGGGCGGCGCCGUCCAUGGCAGAGCCUGCUGCCGACGCCGGCGUGCCGCCAAGGGAGCCCUGACGGCGGCGCUGUAGGGCGCCAGGGGUGGCUUGGAGGGUUCUGGCGAGUGGGCGAGGGUAGUGCGUGGCUCUGCAGGCGAGCAAGGGCCAGGGGCGGGACGCGGCGAGGGCGGCAGUGCGACGCGGCGGCUCGGUGCGCGCGCGUGCAAAACGUGCGCUCUGGGCGCACCCAGAGCACGCACGGGACAUGCUCGACGUAAUGCCAGGGCAGCCUAGCGUGCUAGAGCGAGGCUGGCAAUUAACAGGACAGGGUUAGGGAUAGCUAGGAGCUUAGUGGAUAAGAUUGCUGGGUCAGUGGAUCAAGUACACAGUGCAAACUAAAACUCAUGUCAAAACUGACUGUGCACACCAAGUGUUCGACAGAAUGCUAAGUGCAUUUAGGCAACUCUUGGAGUGGCCAAAAUCUCCAGAUCAGGGUCUCUCUAGAUGAAGGUGAUGAUGGCAAGAUCAUUUGGCCAAAAUCAGAAACUUGCUCGUGCAAGUUUUGCAAAACUUCAGUUUUGGACAGAAAGAAAAAGGUCUCAUUGCAUGCACUUAAAAUCCUCCAAUGGGUCCACUCUCCUGGACUUAAGGGUUUUGCAGGGUGGUCUACAAGCAGGAAAAAGCUCAUGGGCACUAGAGCAAAAUAAAAUAGGGUUGCAGUACAAAUCACCAAACUGGAGCAGAAUGAAGAUGAGGUUGAUUCACUCAAAUAUUUCAAAGAACAUCACUGGGUUUUAGCAUAAAGUUGAAUCAUGUGCAUCUACUGACAUCUCCAAACACUUGGAAGAAUUUUUAAAAGAAAAUUUAAAUAGGUUGUAGUGCAAAAAUAUCUACUGGACCAGAUUUGAAAAGUUGAUGUAGAGCUCAAAAUCUCCAAUGACCAAAAGAUGUUCUUACAUAAAAGUGAUGUGGAAACAUCACAUGGCAUCCCCAAAUUUUGGUGAAAAUUUUAAAUGCAUUUAUCAAAUGGUUGCAGUGCAACAGAGGCUCCAAAUUUAUGAAAAAUCAUUUUAAAAGAAUAAAGUUCAGGAAAAACAAUUAUGCAAAUAAAUCCACUGAUAAGGAAUUGUUUUAUUGAGAGAGCAUACAAGUCCAAUAAUACUUUUGGAAAGUUUCCACUUGAGGUAAAAAAAAACCCACAACAUUAAAGAGAAGAGGGGUUCUGAAAUCAAAAGAGAAAUCCAGAAAAAUAAAAGUUUNNNNNNNNNNNNNNNNNNNNNNNNNNNNNNNNNNNNNNNNNNNNNNNNNNNNNNNNNNNNNNNNNNNNNNNNNNNNNNNNNNNNNNNNNNNNNNNNNNNNNNNNNNNNNNNNNNNNNNNNNNNNNNNNNNNNNNNNNNNNNNNNNNNNNNNNNNNNNNNNNNNNNNNNNNNNNNNNNNNNNNNNNNNNNNNNNNNNNNNNNNNNNNNNNNNNNNNNNNNNNNNNNNNNNNNNNNNNNNNNNNNNNNNNNNNNNNNNNNNNNNNNNNNNNNNNNNNNNNNNNNNNNNNNNNNNNNNNNNNNNNNNNNNNNNNNNNNNNNNNNNNNNNNNNNNNNNNNNNNNNNNNNNNNNNNNNNNNNNNNNNNNNNNNNNNNNNNNNNNNNNNNNNNNNNNNNNNNNNNNNNNNNNNNNNNNNNNNNNNNNNNNNNNNNNNNNNNNNNNNNNNNNNNNNNNNNNNNNNNNNNNNNNNNNNNNNNNNNNNNNNNNNNNNNNNNNNNNNGAUCUGAUUCUAAGCUGAUAAUUCCAAAUGGCAUGGUAUGCCGAUUGAACUGAAAAGAGUCAGUUUUGGUGAAAUUCCAUGCAAAAAAAUCAGUGCUAACCUCCGUUAUCUCUAUAUCCAAGAGGCAUUGGGGGGGAGGGGGGGAGGUGUCUUUCGGCUUAUUCUUGCCUUUUGCACUUCGGCUUAAAAGCCAAAAAAACAUCUAUUUAUGUGUUUUUUGCUUUGGCUUUUCGCUUUAUAUGCUAUAAUGUAACAAUAUUGAGGUGUUUUAGUCCCUUUGUACUUUGAACAGUGUUAUUUUUAAGGGAAUUUUGAGCAGUGCUAAUGAAGGGGUUCUAAUGGAGAAUCCUACUCCUCGCGCACGUCGACAAUUCUCGACCAAAUGCACCCCCGGGCUAGCUACGUGUUCCGGGCCGGCCCAAAUGACGCAAAUCACACUUUCGGUUCUCAGACCGUUUUUUUGUUUUUCUUUCAGUAUUUGUUUUCUUUUCUUUUUUAAUGUUCGCUUUCCUUUAAUUUUUAUUCUUCUUCUUUGUUUUUAUGUUAUUAUAUAUUUUUCAUUGCGUGAUUUAUAUGAAAAUUAUGAACAAUUUUUUGUCAUCGAAUUAAAAAUAUUAAUCAAAUGUAAAACUGUUCAUAAAAACUAAAAAAAUGUUUUCAUAUUAGAAAAUGUUCAUGAAUUUCAUAAUUUCUUUAGAAAAUUCAGGAAGUGUUCAUACAAUUAAAAAUUUGAAACCUUGAGCCCUUUUUAAAAUUUGUGAAAUUUUUCGAAUUCAUGCAAUUUUUAUAUGAAAUCAUGAAUAGGUUUUAAAUUCACAAACCUUUUUUUGAAUUCACAAACAUUUUUGGAAACCCCUUUUUUUGUGAAUUCACGAUGAUUUUUUCAAUCUCGCGUACAUUUUUCAAUUCACAACUUUUUUUUCAAAUUCACGAAUAUUUUUUCAAAAGUAUGAACAUUUUUUGAGUCUGCCAACAUUUUUCAAAUUCGAGAACAUUGUUUUCGAAUUCAGGAAUAUUUUUUGAAUUCGAUAAUUUUGUUUAAAUUCAUGAAGGUUUUGGAAUCCUUAACAUUUUUCAACGAAGUAAAAGUAAACCGAAAAAACGAAAAAAAGGGACACCCCGCCCCCGCAUGGGCUGGCCCUAAGUUGCGCCUGGGCGAGCAAUCGCUUCCCACCACGUGGGUCAGCCGGGUUCGAAAAUCCAUAGGAGCGCUCGUCCUCGCCUGCUCAUGUUAUCGUUGCGCGCUCGUUCGCUUUGGGAUCGGAGGCUGGGCUCGUAUUGAAUGCCGUAUAUGCUGCAGCAAGCAACGCCCUAAACAUUAAGAAUUCUGGUGCGGACCCACAGCACAGUACGUCCGUUCACUCACGACGUGAAAACAAACGUCUACAAAUCUGUACUCACAGCCCAUCAGACGGCAUACGUUCUGAACUUUAAUAUUGCUAGAAGGUGUGACUCCCAAAAGGAUAAAACUAAGAAGGUGUUGGGUUGGAUUCUUGAAAGUGGCAAUCUGGCAAUUCUUUUAUUAUUUUGUUUUUCACGAAUAACAAAGAACAAUUUGUCUAAUUAAUACUCCCACUAAUUCAAAAUAAAUGUCGUCGUUUUGAACCAAGCUUAGUUCAAAACUACGACACGUAUUAUGGAUCGAAGGGAGUAUUGGAUAUGGAUUAUUAUCGGAGAACAACAUAUUAUUACUUUACCGUACAUAGCUUAGAAAUACAUAUUUUAUGAUGUAAAUCCCAUCUUUGCUUAAAAAAGGUAUUAAUCCACAUAACUUUUUUUUAUCCACUUUGCUUUGACUGCAAAAAAAUCUUGACCACACAAGUGCUACUACCGUGUGAAACUCAUGUUGCAACCAAAAAGUCCUAGUCUGCUCCUGAGCUCAAAUGAGCUCGGUGUGAACAGUAAAAUCAAAAAAAUGUUAAGGACUUCAAAAAAUUCUAACUUUUUUUUUUGUAAAAAAACUUUGAUAAAUGUUUGAGUGUCUGAAUUUUUUCAUCAUGAAAUAAUAUUUGUGAAAGUCAUGAAAAAAACCAGCACUUCAAAAUGCUUUCAAAAAUAAUAUUUUUGGAGCAUCGAUUUUUUUGCCAUGACUUCCAGGAAUGUGAUUUCAUGAUAUGUUUUUUGCAAUUGCACAAAACACUAGUCAAAGUUUGCCACCAAAAAAUUCUGAUUUUUUUUACUAUUUCCUUAUGUUACUGCUCAUAAGGGAGCAUUUGAACUCGAGUGUAGAAACUCUGCGUCCCCUAUUUUUACAUGUGCUAAAGCAAGUCAGUGCUGAAAUCAGCCAAGAUCCUAGUUUCUUUUUCUUUUUAUUUUGCCGAUUUGAAAAUUUAAAAAGAGAUAGAGGACAUGAACCAUAAACUGGGUCCACGUUCUGUUUGCACCUUUGUGUUUUGCUGCAUUGGCCAGGUGAUAGCUACCAUGUUUUUUCCUUUCAUAAAUUAGGUCCCUGCUUCAAGUUGCACAUUAUUAUGACCUGGAGGAAGAGCUUUCCGUUGUGGCCGUCCAUCUACCAAUUUUUUUUUCUUCAACCUUUUGCGUUCCAAAUGACCUGGGCGAAAAGCUGGAAUCCACCCACGACGCAUAUCUUUUUGCGGCCAUCAGCGAUCUUGUACCAAUCGAAAUUAUCAGGUCCAGCCGUCACGACAAUGACUAACUCCGUUGCCCCGUCAUGCAGGGCCAUUCCUGUACGUGCACUAUUUCCCUAGCGUGUACGCUCCAGCAUUUCCAUGCGCCAUAAAUACAGCUCCCGUCCAGACGUUGUCCUAUUGGCCCGUAUAAAAGGAGCAGGCGAGCUCGUCCGCCAUAUGGCUGCCCUCCUCCGGGUUCUAAUAAUUUGCCAUUCCUUUUUUUUUUGAGACAAGCCAUUCCUUUCUUCUGAAAUGGACUCCACCGAAUUGCAAAACAUAGAAAAAGCCCAUGUAAUAGCAGGCCAGCUCCCCUCUAACGUUUGGGCCUCUGAAUACGACGUCUUAGAACCUUCUGGACGCAAGCGCCAACGCCUAGGCUAAGACCCACUAACGGGCGGCGGGCACCACCCACCACCCAGGCCAGCAAGCAAAGCCACGCCUCCUCGCCGUUGCUUUGCUUUCGUCCUCGCCUUUUCUUUCCUUUCGUGUAGUACCGAGCAAGACAAAGCUCUCGGCACAAAACCCCCAAACCCCCCAAGGCGCCCCACCCCCACACGCAUCGCACACCACCCAUCCAACCCAUCCCCAUCGCAGCCCACGCGCCCGGGACCCGAGCAGCCAUGGCGAAAGGAGCAGCCGGAGGAGGAGGGGGAGGGGGCGCCGUGAAGACGGCCCUGGUCGUCACCGGCGGCCUCGUCCUCGCCUGGCUCACCGUCGAGUCCGCCUUCAAGCCCUUCCUCGACCGCCUCCGCGGCGCCGUCUCCCGCUCCACCGACCCCGCCCGCGACCCCGACGAGGACACCGCCGCCCCCGCCCCCGCCCCCGAGGAGGACAAGUCGCCCGCCACCGCCGCCGUCGCCGCCGCUGUCGCCUCCGCCGUCGCCGAGGAGAAGGACCCCGCCGUCGCCGCGGCCGAGCCGUCCGCGCCCCCGCUCCCGGCCGAGGCCUCGGUGGAGAGCGAGGAGAAGGGAGCGGACAGGGAGGUCGAGCUGGGCGAGAAGGGGGAGGCGGCCGUGGCCGCCAAGGCCGAGUGAAGACGGCGGUUCUCGCCUCGCCUGGUUCCACUUCUGAAUCGUACGCUGUGAAUCUAUUCUACGCGUUUGGAGGUUGUGAUGGAUGAUGCAAUGUUUUGAACUCUGUUAUCGGUAUCUGCACCUUUAGGGCCCGUCUUAAGAUUAAGGCUUACCCUGGGUUAGUUUCUGACAUUUUGCAUUCAGUACUUGAUGUCAUGAUAUACAUCUGUGUGGAUGGUUUAAUUUACCAUGGAAACUGCUUGCUUAUCCUGUGGACAGGAAACUUAUUGUCACAUAGGUUGUUCUAGCUCUUGAAGCUGCAUUUGGUUCAGUCAUUUUAAUCAGUCGCCAGGGUAAUGGUGAUGUGGUGCAUCAUUCAAUUAUUUUGGGCUGUCUUUCCUGCUUGGUUUAUGCAUUUCCUCUGAGGGAGAAGUUAUCUCGUCCAACAUUACAUAAAAACUGCUUUGCUUAUGCUGUUGAUAGGAAAAUUAUAGUGACAUAUGUUGUUCUACUUCUUCAAACUGAAAGUCUGCAAGGUUGUUCAGUUGUUUAAGUAUUUCUUGGGCUAGUGAAAUGAUAUGGUGCAUCAUUCGAUUAUUUUGUGCUACUUCUCUUGCUUUCAGAUUUUUCUCUGUGAAUAAGUUAUUUCUAUCAUGCUUCUAAAUAGUACUCCCUCCGUCCGGAAAUACUUGUCGAAGAAAUGGGUAAAAAUGGAUGUAUCUAGAACUAAAAUGCGUCUAGAUACAUCCAUUUCUCCGACAAGUAUUUCCGGACGGAGGGAGUAUUAUGUUACCUGUUAAUCGCAUUUUGACGCUUGGGGUGUGUCUUUGAUGCUGCCUAGUUAGAAUUCUUAUUAUUUGAUAUCUGUAUGUUUUACUACUCAGCUCAACUUAGCAGCGUGGUUACUUACUAGUUGUACAUCAGUAUUUACUACUAUAUAUUAUUGAUGCUCCUAUAUGUUAGUGCCCGUGCAUGUUUUUUUAUUUUCUCGCUUAGAAGUAGUUUGCUUAUAUUACUAUCUUGCUAGAAAUAUUCAGGUUUUCAUAGGGAUUCUCCAGGUCUUUUGUGGCAACAAAUGGUUUGGUAAUUUCCAUUUCUAGAUCACUUCUUGAAUCUUUUGGUAUUUUCAUGUAACAUGUUUGCCCAGUGCCCGGUACUACUUUUUUCUGUAUUUAACGCUGAGCUGUUGUAUCUAUUUGCUGAGUAAGACGGUAGACCUUGCGAGGAAGUCCAGCCAAUUAUAUGUCUUGAAAGGAUGCAGCAUUUUUCUGUCGUUCUGUUUUAAGUUGUAGCUACAGGAGGUUUCUGAAUUCAGUACUAUUUAAGAAGAAAGUUUUCACAUUACCUGCUACAGGGUAAUGGUAUACAUUUGGAAUCAAAGUCAUGCUAAGUCAGUCACAUUAUUGCUUCAUGCAUGAAACAUAGUUUGUUAGUAGCGUAUCUGUAAUGAUAGUACUUAACUAUUAUGCUUGGAUAUAUUAGUGUUGUUUUCUGCAUUUAGUCAUCAUUUGUAUAUGUGUCGACAAAGCUGUUAAUGUUUAACAUUAUUCUGCAGAAGUUAUUAAGCAUAACCGUUUGAUGUACGAAUACCAUUAUUGUACUAAGUUGAGAUGACAUGAAUGCUUCAUGCACAACAUGUAGUCUGUUAGUAGUGUAUCUGGUGUUGAAAUGUCUUAAGUAUUAUGCUUGGCUAAACAAUUGACGGUUUCUGCCUUUAAUAUAAUUUGUAUAUGUGGCAACAAAGUCGUCGAUUUUAGACAUUAUUAUGUGAAAGAUGCUAUUAAAUAUCUAGACUUCUAGAGUAUUAUGCUUGUCUGGUGUUACAUUGAUAUGGAGGCGGCAAAGCUUAUCUGGUGUUAAAAUAUCUAGAGUAUUAUGCUUAGACAGACUAGUGAGUUUCUGCAUUUAGUAUCAUUUGUAGAUGCGGCAACAAAGCUGUCGAUGUUGGACGUUAUCACGCGUUACAGUUUGAUAGGGAGGGCAGCAGUUAUUGUACUAAGCUAAUACUACAUUAUUACUUCAUGCACAACUUUGCAGUCCGUUAGUAGCCUAUCUGGAAUUAAAAUACGUGGAAUAUUAUGCUUGGAUAAACUAGUGAGGAUCUAUGCAUUUAGUCAUCAUUUAUAGAGGUGACUGCAAAUCUGUUGAUUGGUAGACAUUAUGAUGCAGAUGCUAUGAUUGAUUACUGACGUUAUGCUGUGUUAGCAUGAUAGUUCGAUGAUUAACAAUAUUUUGUUACUGAAAUGCCUCGUGUUAAAUUCUGCAAUACUAUGUUUUGGUGAAGUACUGAUGCUUCUGCAUUUAUGCUGCAGUCAUACGUCCGACAACAAAGUUGUUAAUUAUAGUUGCUAGAUGUUAAGGUUCCAAACUGAAGUAACGCUAUUUUAGUAAACUAAGAAUUAGUCUCCUGAUUUUCCGUUGAUGCAUUUAGUUUUUCAAAUGCGGCAUCAGAACACAGGGGUAACAUUGUUUUAUUUUCAUGACUAUCCUUAGGCUCAACGCAUAGUCUGUUAGUAACUUAUCUGGAACUAAAACAUGAAAUGUUAUGUGUGGAUAAACUAGUGAGGAUUUAGGCAUGUAGUCAUCAUUUAUAGAGAUGACCGCAAAACUGUUCAUUGGUAGGCAUUGUGAUGCAGGUGCUAUGAGUGGUUACAACUUUAUGCCGUGUCAAAGCAUGACCACAUCAUAGCUCGAUGAUUAACAAUAUGUUUUUGCUGAAUUGUCUGGUUUCAAUCCUUUAGUACUAUGUUUUGGUAAACUACUGAUGGCUUCCGCAUUUGUGCAGCAGUCAUACAUGCGAUAGCAAAGUUAUUAAUUAUAGCUGCUACUCCCUCCAUUCCUACAUAUAUGACGUUUUGGUAGUUCAAUGAGGGAGUAGAUGUUAAGGUUCCAAACUGAAGUAGCACUAUUUUAGUAAACUACUCCCUCCGUAAAGAAUAUAAGAGCGUUUAGAUCACUAGCUCUUCUAUUUCUUUACAGAGGGAGUAAUAAUUAGUCUCCUGAUCUUCUGGUGAUGCAUUUUAGUUUUCCGAAUGCGGCAUCAAAACAUAGGUUACAUUAUUUUGUUCUCAUUACUAUUCGUAGGCUCAUGCACCAUUGAUUAGUUAAUGCUCACCUAGAACUGAAUCAAGUUUCCUGUUCAGUUUUGAUAACUCAGUAAUGAUUUAGUAUUUACUCUACUAUACUGCGACGACAUGGUAAUUGAUGCUAAAUGUUUAACUUUAAACUACAUCAUAUGUUAUUGUUAUAAACAAAUAACAAAUCUCAAUCCUGUUACUCGCUUAAUCAGAAGGCUUAAGUGAUAAGUCGGUAUGGAGGUUUGGUUUGCCCGCAAUUUGGUUUUGGACAUAUUUGUUAGUUAUUGUUUGUGGUGUUGCCAUUUUCUGUGUCAUUUAUGAUUACCCCUACUUCCUGGUCUUAGUGUUGGUUAACUAAUACUCCCUCCGUUCCUAAAUAUAAGUCUUUCUAGAGAUUUCAAUAAAGACUACACACAGAUGUAUAUGGACAUAGUUUAGAGUGUAGAUUCACUCAUUUUGCUCCGUAUGUAGUCCAUAUUGGAAUCUUUAGAAAGCUUAUAGUAUUUAGGAACAGAGAGAGUAUAACUUAAUUGUCUCAGCUGGUCUUCGCUCGACAGUGAACAUCAUCCCGUCCAAAUUGCGACUAUAAUACUUGCUUGAAAGGAUCUAGUGUGAGCGAAUUCGCCGCAUUGUACCCAUGAUCAGAUGACAUAAGGUAUAGAUGAAUAUGAUAGAACGGUCAAUUUUCAUAUAAGGUGCCCCAUAGAAUUGGUAUGCAUUUGCCAUUAGAGCACAUGUAACGGUCAGCUGCUACUUGCUAGCAUGAUUUCGUGAUAGUUUCAUGCAGCAUGAGUAGUUCUAUUUAGUACCCAGUCCAGAAUUAAAGUAGCUAUUGCAGUUCGUUUGUCAAAUCUAAUGGUGAUUUCUGCAAUUCAGCAGUUAAAAUAUGUAAUGAUAGUUUGGUAGGUGCUAAACGUUGAGUAUUCAUAAUCAAGCAACAUUUGUUGCAGUAAACUAAUCAUUGACUUAUGGGACUGAAGGUUUCUUUGGGUUAUAUUGACGAGUGAAGACAUGUGCUUUGUUAGUUCUUUAUAGUUACUUUCAGUUCACACGCAUUCUGCAAGGUAGUAGAAUUCUGUAAAUCUUGUUUUAAUUCAAAAUAAUGAAGAUAUGUUUGGGGCAAUUAUAUUUGCUUGCCUAUGUUAAUUGUUCUGUUCCUGACUUGGUUGUGCGAUUCUGUGGAAAAUACACAUUAGCAUUCCAAUUGCAAAAUUUGCCACUUUGUCAUAAUGCCAUGUUCUGCAUUUUAGUUUUGUUGGGCAAGAGGCGAUUUAAGUGUAAAUAUGGUUUAUUGAUUUGGGCGCGUUCUGUGAUCUGCCUGUAGCAUAGUGUAAACUACACAACCUUUGAGGGUUUUAAGCAGCAUAAUACUAAAAACGGAUCUCUGGUAGCAUAUCAGUUGCCGCACACACAAAAUGAUGAAUACACUUGUUUGGUCGUUCAUCUUUAUGCAUGCAUUAUCAUGUUUUACGUGCUUAUUGCCAAACAAGUGAGAUUCUGCUGGGAAUGAAACUGCUAUUACUAAUUAGGAUAUUGUCUAUGUGAUGGCAUUGCUGCUUACUUGUUUUGGGAUUGGGGAAGUGCUGUCGAAUUGUUAUACUAAUAAACUGAAUAAUAGCAAUCAAGAUUGACAUUGUAAUGAAAACCAAUAGUCAUUACUCAAUGAGAAUUAUCAUUUGAGUGUCUUGUUUGAUUGUUGUCGUGCCAUGAUUGGUGAUUGCAUACUCCUCUAGUGUCAUCAUUUUUAUGUCUAAUGCUUUUUGUCAGCAUCGGGAGGCACACCAAUGAUGGCGCAUUUCUUUUUGGUAAACGUUUCAAGCCUACAUGCCGGCCCAAACUUUUGGCCGGUCGCUCGCUCGUCGUUAGGCCAACUCCACCGCGCGACCCCAAACGGACGUCCGUUUUGUCCGGAUUCUGUCCGUUUGGGUAGGGCAAUGGUGUCGUGUCCGGACGUGUCCUGGGAUGCGGUGGCCGUGCGCCCAGCGCGCGACCGCAUCCGUUUGCCCUAUCCUGUCCGCCAGGGCCCAAAAUGCCCAUAUUUUCAUCAAAACUAGUUUACAAUCCAAAUAUUUGUCUGAAAAUUAAAAUAGUUUUACAACCCAAUUAAAAAUGUCUUUAAUAAAAUAGUUUUACAAUCAAAUCGAAAUUGUCUUAACUGAACAUAAAAUGAACCAAUACAUCUAUUGGUUGCCAAUGUGAUCCCACACGUGCUCAACCAAGUCAUUUUGAAGAUUCAAAUGAGUGUGCCAAUCACGCAUCUCACGGUGGAAUUGGACAAACUGUUCAAAUGUGGCCGGGUCUUGGUGCAGGGGCUCAAUAUUUUCACCUUGAUAAUCAAAUCCUUGGUCGAAGAUACUCUCGUCACGCUCGUCCUCGACGAUCAUGUUGUGCAUGAUCGCACAAGCACUCAUCACCUUCCAAAGCUUCCUUUCAUCACAUGACAGUGCAGGGUUUCGAACGAUACCCCACCGGGAUUGAAGCACACCAAAAGCACGUUCCACAUCCUUUCUAACACUCUCUUGCAUUUGGGUAAAUCUCUUUCUCUUCUCACCUUGGGGUUUCGAGAUUGUCUUCACAAAAGUUGACCACUGAGGAUAUAUACCAUCAGCUAGAUAGUAUCCCUUGUUGUAUUGGUGGCCGUUGAUCUCAAAGUUGACAGGUGGGGAGUGGCCUUCUGCAAGCCUCGCAAAGACUGGAGAACGCUGCAGCACGUUGAUAUCAUUGUGAGAACCUGCUAUGCCGAAGAAAGAACGCCAUAUCCAAAGAUCCUGCGAUGCCACCGCUUCUAAUAUGACAGUGCACCCGUUGGCAUGCCCCUUGUACUGUCCCUGCCAAGCAAAUGGACAGUUCUUCCACUCCCAGUGCAUACAAUCUAUGCUGCCAAGCAUGCCUGGAAAGCCUCUAGCUGCGUUGGUCGCCAACAAUCUCUCUGUAUCAGCGGUAGUUAGCUGCCUCAAGUACUCUGGGCCAAACACCUCGAUCACAGCCUGACAAAACUUGUACAUUGACAUUAGACAUGUUGUCUCACUCAUACGCACAUACUCAUCCAUCAGAUCGCCUGGAAUACCAUAUGCAAGCAUGCGGAUGGCCGCGGUGCAUUUCUGGUAAGAGGAGAAUCCAAGCUUGCCAAGGGUAUCUGUCUUGCACUCGAAGUAUGGGUCAUGAGCAACCACUCCCUCUCGGAUACGAUUGAACACAUGCCUUGCCAUACGAAAACGGCGACGAAAUUUAUCCGGCUUGAAAAGCGGAGUGUUCGCAAAGUAAUCGACAUAGAGCAAGGCGUGGCCUCUCCCUGUUGCGGUUCAGGUUGGGAGCACGGCCAGGGACUGACCCCCUGUACCGAGGAAGCUGCCGUUGAAUGUGGUCGUGAACGACCAGUGCAGCCACCAUAAGAUCUUCAUCAUCCGACGACGAAUCGUCCGAUGAACAAAGGAAGUGAUGGAAGAAAAACUCGUCUCCACUGUCCAUACCUUUGUGGGCAAAAUGUCUAACACCUUGCGGUCGUGGUGGCGAAGAGGCCGCGAUGAUCACCUCGAUGCAACAGGGGUGGUUGCCGGCCGGCUACUGGCCGCUCUGGAGCUCUCGUCGGAAGCUACCGAGGCCACCGUGGUACGUCGCCGGCGGUCGUGUCCCCUCUGCCACCGGCAAAGACGGCGACGGCCAAACCUCCUCCGAUCGACGGCCAAAACUACGACGAAAGCGCGGGCCUGGUGGCAGUCAUGUCGAGACGUGGUUUGGUAGGGACGGCCGGGGGCUGCGAGGAGGAGGCGGCCGAAGAAUAGCGGCGGCGCCGGCGGCGGGGCGGGGCGGGAGAGAGAGGGUGGAAGCGUUGGGAGCGGAGGGACUGCUAGUGUCCCCGACAGGCGGGCCACGGGGGAGGGGGAUAAGGGCGUGCAUCCAGGCCAUCCGCGCGCGUCCGUUUCAUCCCAAACCGAGCGCAAGUUUGGGCCGGGGAUAGGUCGAAAACGGACGGAAUCUGGAUAUUUGUCUGUUUGAGGCCGCGCGUUGGGCCGCGCUAUUCGUCCGUUAUACCCCAAAACGGACGCACGCGGACAGGAUGGGGUCGCGCGGUGGAGUUGGCCUUAGAUGCGGUUGCGAUCGAAGCGUCCGCGUUUACCCAGGUCAUCCCACGUACGAACAAAAGCGCCUGCUCUUGGGGAGCUACACGAGCGCGCGCACAUCCACGUGUGAAGCUAGGCCCACCCACCGCUCCGCGCCUCCUCCCAAUCUUAUCUGUUCACGCGCCUGUUCUAGAGCCAUUCAUUUACUUCACAGCUUCCACACCUCAUCUUCUACUUUACAACUAGCCAAUAACUCCUCUCUUCUUCCACAUCCCUCUCACAUGUCAGUGCCAUGGAUUCAACCCAGCGAGCUCCGGUGCUGAGAGACCAAGCUGCAGCUGGGAGCGGAGGGUGGGUGCGGCUGUGCUAGACCCAACAAGCCUUGAAGCUGCAACCGUUGUUGGUGUAUGCUGGAACCGGCGUCCGUCGGCGCCGCCACCAGCGGAGCCAAGUGCUGCAAGCGGCGACGAGCGGGACGUUCUUUGUUGUGACCGGUUUUUUUCAUUUGCUGGAACCAUGGUGCGGGGGUGCUGGAACCAGUGUACAGAGAUGCUGGAACCGCGAUGGGCGAAGCUUCGACGGCGGAGACAAAAAGAUGCACCCCACUGUCGGAGAUGCUGGAACCGGCCAUGGCAAAUGCUGGAACCAGUCCUAAUUUUUGCUACCACCCCUUUUGUUUUGAUUUUGCUGGAACCAUGCUUAAGUUUUGCUACCACCGUUCUUCAAUUUUGCCGGAACGGGCAAUUUUUUCUGCUUCAACCAAGUUUUUUGGAAUGUUUCUGUUGCUUUAGAUUUUUGCUGGAUGUGGCCAAUUCGUUUGCCACAACCGGCCUUUUCAAUGCUUGAACCAAGUCUGAUUUUUGCUAUUACCGUGGUCCUUUUGCUACAUCCUUUGUUCAUGGUUGCCAUGGUGCUCCAAGCACGGCGGCGAGCACAAAAAGAGUGCGGCCGGCGAGCUGCAACCGUUAGUCAUUUUUGCUGGAACCGGUCAGUGGUCACCGCGGUGAGCACGACAGUCACCACGGUGAGUUGCGAUGGUCACCACGGCAAGCUGCGACGGAAAUUGUCUGCGGCCAUCUGUGACGGUAACCACACCGAGCUGGAACCGCAGUCCAAAAUAGCUGGGACAAUAGUCGUGUUUUGCUGCAACCAUGGGAUCGGUGUUUUUGGUCUUUAGUCGUGGCUGACCAAGAGCGGGGAUGGCAAGCGGCAGCGAGCCGGCGAGGUCAUCGGCGUUGGGGGUCGUCGGGGGAGGAAGGGACGGGGGUUUGUGCGUGGCGGCUCUGGUGCGGCAAUGAGUGGGAGGAGGAAGAAAGAAUCAAGGGGAGGAAGUAGACGGCGCGGGGCCAGAUCAGACGGCUCGCUACAGCUGUAUCAGGCGGCUGUGCGCUGACCAGCUGAAAUUUCGGCCGGCGCGCCGGCGCCUAUCAGUGCCCUUUCUUUUUAUGUUGACAUUGUAUUAUUGUUAUUGCAUAUAUUGGAUAUAGGAAUUAUGUUAUUUGGUCUGAUGAAUGCUUGAUGCUACAUUUGCAUGCAGUACCAAAUGUCCAUCUAAUCCUGUAGGUUCGAUGUAUGUAAGUUGGUUAAUUGUGUUGGAUUUUUUAGUUGGUUCCAUUUGAAGCGGGCAUCGAGCAUCUAGCAUAACUUUGCAUUUGAUAGACUUUUUGCGAACCAUGAGUGGGAGGGGAACUAUAUUUUGGGUUUUCAAAAGUUGGAUAGGAGGGAACCAAAGCCAAAUAUGUAUCACAUGGUUAAUGAAUCAUAGGAGUAUAUAGGAAGAUAUGCAUACCACACAUUGCAUAUAUCUUCCAAGCCGUAAGAUAUUAAGUAUGAAGAUAUGUAUAACACACAUUGCAUAUAUCUUCAAGCCAUUUGACAUUAAGUACGAAGAUAUGCAUACCACACAUUGCAUAUAUNNNNNNNNNNNNNNNNNNNNNNNNNNNNNNNNNNNNNNNNNNNNNNNNNNNNNNNNNNNNNNNNNNNNNNNNNNNNNNNNNNNNNNNNNNNNNNNNNNNNNNNNNNNNNNNNNNNNNNNNNNNNNNNNNNNNNNNNNNNNNNNNNNNNNNNNNNNNNNNNNNNNNNNNNNNNNNNNNNNNNNNNNNNNNNNNNNNNNNNNNNNNNNNNNNNNNNNNNNNNNNNNNNNNNNNNNNNNNNNNNNNNNNNNNNNNNNNNNNNNNNNNNNNNNNNNNNNNNNNNNNNNNNNNNNNNNNNNNNNNNNNNNNNNNNNNNNNNNNNNNNNNACCUUACAUAUACAAUGUACAUUGUGAUUACAUAUCCUUUAGGCUAAUUAGUUCUCUUCUUUCUAUGCACGUAUACAUGUACAUCGUGAUUGUGGAUAGGUUUGUUGAUUACAUAUCCUUUAGGCUAAUCAAACGGACUAGUUAAUUUUUAGUAUAUUUUUUUGUCAAAAAGAAUAUACAGUAUCCUUGUGCGUGCAUGUCAAACAUGUUAUGUACCACACUGAUCAAACGGUGCAAAUAAAUUCAGCAUGUGGAUGCACAUGGUAGGUUGUUUGUAUUUCAUAAUAUCAUAGUAAUAAUAGACAGGCAUUAGAGAACCUACACCAAGUUUUUAUGUUCAAACAAAAAUCUACACCAAGUUUUUAUGUUCAAACAAAAAUCUACACCAAAUUAGAAUUCAAACACGUGCCAAAAAAUGGUUGUAAACACCAUAAAUACUUGCUUAUAUUUUCCCCUUUCAGAUAUAUCGAUCCAAACAGCAAAGAUCAGUAGUCAGUAAGAAAUGCUCUUUUACACUAAACAAAAAUAAAUUAAAUGUGUUUGAAUCUUAAAAUAGGCAAGAUAUUCAUCAUAUCAUAUCUGAAGUUCCGAACAACCAAGAACACAAGAACACAGUAAGAAAUAUCUUAAACAAAUCAAGCGCUAGCAUGAAUCUUUCUUAAACAUGAUGCUCUUCGACAUUAAGUAUGAAGAUGUGCAACACACAAUGCAUAUAUCUUCCAAGCCAUUCGACAUUAAGUAUUAAUAUAUGUAUACUAUAUAUCAUCCAUGCCCUUUGACAUAGUACGAAGAUAUGCAUACCACACAUUGCGUAUAACAUACAUGCCCUUCGAUGAUUUUUAUUGAAUGUACACCACCCAUUGUGUGUAUGUGCAUACCACACAUUGUGUAUAAUAUCCAUGCCCUUGGAUAAUUUUUAUUGAAUAUACACCACCCAUUAUGUGUAUCAUCCACGUGAUGUGUAUAACACACUUUGCAUAUAUCAUCAAUGCCUAUAGUGAUUAAGUACGUAGAUACGAAUGACAUCCAUACACACACACGUUGCAGUUGCUUGCGGGGUGUCAUUUAUUUCAUAUAUAUCUUGAAUCAAUUGUUAAUGAACUAUCCCCUAAAGUCGAGUAAAGUGGCCGAAAUAUAUUAUGGUGACAUUGUUUCAACCAUGUUGCUUUGUUCGUUCUGCAUGCCGAGUUGAAACGCGCCCCGUUCGUCAGCUCCGGUCUGCAUGCCCUUGCUGGUCACCACUUCCAUUCAUGUACAAAUACAAUCACCUUUGCCGAGAGAAUGGAGCAACUUGCCUUUGGCAUUGCAAGCAGCCGGCGCAUCUGCGUCCUGUGAAUGGUAAUCACACUACCCUACGCGAGCAAGAUGGAGAGCAACUACGAGCACCUGCCGGUGGCGCGACGCCAUUGCUGCACUACAGAGCGGCUAGAACUAAAUAGUUACAGACGGGGGAGCCAAGUGACGGAAGCUACAAAGAGGAGAUGAAAGGCUCAAGGCUAUCAGAUGCACACUAAUUAGUUCUCUUGUUUCUAUGUACGUAUGCAUGUAAAUGUACGUCUUGAUUGUGGGUAGGUUUGUUGAUUACAUAUCCUUCCGUUAUUGUCCAAACAUAGGCUAAUCAAACGAACUAGUUAAUUUUUAGUAUAUGUUUUUUUUUCUUCUUCUCAAAAAGAAUAUAUUAGCAUGAUGGUUUAGUGUCUUUGUGCGUGCAUAUCAACAUGUUAUGUACUACACUGAUCAAACGCUGCAAAUAAAUUGAGCAUGUGGAUGCACAUUGUAGGUUGUUUGUUUUUCAUAAUAGCAUAGUAAUAAUAGACAUGUAGAUGGAUAGAUAAUCUGCAUCGUGCAUCAGAGAGCCUACACCAAGUUUUCAUGUUCAAACAAAAAUCUACACCAAGUUGCCAAAAAAUGGUUAAAAAUGCCGUAAAUACUUGCUUAUAUUUUCCCCUUUGAGAUAUAUCGAUCCAAACAACAAAUAUCAGUAGUCAGUAAGAAAUGCUAUUUUACACUAAACAAAAAUGAAUUAAAUGUGUUUGGCAAGAUAUUCAUCAUAUCAUCUGUAGCGAUCCGACCUCAGACGGUCAAAUCUCUGUGUUCAGUGUCAUCCCUGGAUCGGUAAUGCUAACACACACAGUACUUGAAUGGAUUUAUAAUAGAGUCCUUGCUGGUCACCACUUCCAUUCAUGUACAAAUACAAUCACCUUUGCCGAGAGAAUGGAGCAACUUGCCUUUGGCAUUGCAAGCAGCCGACGCAUCUGCGUCCUGUGAAUGGUAAUCACACUACCCUACGCGAGCAAGAUGGAGAGCAACUACGAGCACCUGCCGGUGGCGCGACGCCAUUGCUGCACUACAGAGCGGCUAGAACUAAAUAGUUACAGACGGGGGAGCCAAGUGACGGAAGCUACAAAGAGGAGAUGAAAGGCUCAAGGCUAUCAGAUGCACACUAAUUAGUUCUCUUGUUUCUAUGUACGUAUGCAUGUAAAUGUACGUCUUGAUUGUGGGUAGGUUUGUUGAUUACAUAUCCUUCCGUUAUUGUCCAAACAUAGGCUAAUCAAACGAACUAGUUAAUUUUUAGUAUAUGUUUUUUUUUCUUCUUCUCAAAAAGAAUAUAUUAGCAUGAUGGUUUAGUGUCUUUGUGCGUGCAUAUCAACAUGUUAUGUACUACACUGAUCAAACGCUGCAAAUAAAUUGAGCAUGUGGAUGCACAUUGUAGGUUGUUUGUUUUUCAUAAUAGCAUAGUAAUAAUAGACAUGUAGAUGGAUAGAUAAUCUGCAUCGUGCAUCAGAGAGCCUACACCAAGUUUUCAUGUUCAAACAAAAAUCUACACCAAGUUGCCAAAAAAUGGUUAAAAAUGCCGUAAAUACUUGCUUAUAUUUUCCCCUUUGAGAUAUAUCGAUCCAAACAACAAAUAUCAGUAGUCAGUAAGAAAUGCUAUUUUACACUAAACAAAAAUGAAUUAAAUGUGUUUGGCAAGAUAUUCAUCAUAUCAUCUGUAGCGAUCCGACCUCAGACGGUCAAAUCUCUGUGUUCAGUGUCAUCCCUGGAUCGGUAAUGCUAACACACACAGUACUUGAAUGGAUUUAUAAUAGAGUAGCAAUCACACACUUAUUACAUCGAAUGUCUCAAGAGAGAGAACUUAUUACAAUAAAUAUGGCAUAAGGCCAUCUAAAAGAGAUAACAGCGGAAGGCUUAGAAGAUAAAGUGAGUCCAUCAACUCCAACGGCAUAGCUGAGUGCAUGACAACGACCUAGCGCACCUUACUUCUCGUCUGAAAAGUCUGCAACAUGAUAUGUUGCAGCCCGAAACGGCUCAGCACAUGGAAUAUGCUGGCAAAAUAACACAGUAGAGCAAUGAACAGAUAAAUGCUAUUACUACAUGCAUAUAUGGCUGGUGAAGGCUCUAUGGUUAUAAUGUUUUGCGAAAAGCCAGUUUUUCCCUACAACAAAGAAAUAUGAUUUAUUUAACUAUCAUGAUGGUUGAAACAUCAUUGAGAAGGUUCCUCCAACUCAAUCCCAAUUAAAGUAGUCAUUAUCAUCCCAACAAAUUAAUUUAGAGUGAUGAGAUCAAACCAAUAAUUCAAGUACCAGAUACUCAAGAUGUCCAUAACCGGGGACAUGGCUAACCAUGAUUAGUUUAUACACUCUGCAGAGGUUUGCGCACUUUUCCCCACAAGACUCAAUCUCCUCCGUUGGAUUUCUCGCACUAAAUGGUGUUUGAGAAACGGAUGACCGAGACACAGUCUUUCAGAAACAUUAACUCUUUACUCUGGGUAGACAGUUACACCUACUUUCCCUCUACAUCUGCUAGCCUACCACUGAAAGAGGUCAUGCAACUUACUCAACUAUGCUAGAGCCCAUAAUAGCUUGUGGCUGCACACGGAAGUUUCUAGCAUGAAUAAUCUUAUGAUCCCUUCGAGCCUGGGUGGCGGACCGUAGGAUGAUCACACGGGUACUCCAGAAUAUCCUAGGACAACACUGGAUUCUCCAGGUGCCCAAACCAAAAAUCCACCCAGAUGUGUAUUCAAGUAGCCACCAUGGAUUCACUCAAACCCAAUCCACGUCUACGAGCAUAGCAUGGCAAUAUAAGCAUAACGUAGAAGUAACUCCUAGGGUUUGAUAAUAAACAGGGCAAUAGGUUCUACCACAUCAACUACUUCCCAAAACCCACAAGUUAAUCACAUCCUAAUCAUGCAGUGUUUGAGGAUUGUAACUAAUGCAUAAAAACUGGGUAUGAAAAGAGUAUGAUCAAUGUGUUACUUGCCUUGCUGAUGAUCUGCAAAUCCUAAAGACUCGUAGUAGCACGCUUCGCACUCCGGGAAUUCUAUCGCAAACAAACAAUAGCAUACAUAAGCAAUCAAGCAAAGAUGCACGGGUAAAACUCAAAUAAGAAGAUCUAACCAGAAAGUUCAACUGAAGAACUCCGGUUUGCAAAAAGAAUCAAAUCAAAUGGAGCAACGAAACUCAAACCACGAAAGAAACAAUAUCCGUUUACUAAUCUGGACUAAAGUCAAAUUUUACAGUACCAAAAUCUUGUUCAAGUUGGUUAAACAGAAAGAGGGCUUCGAGACGAAGAUCUAGGCACUUGUUUCACCUGAUUUGGCUAAACGAGCGAAAAGAUAAAAUAAAACGAAGAUCAGGGCAGAAAUCGCGAUCGAAAAUAAUCGCGGAAAACCCUGGAAAAUAAAACGAGAUGAACAGGCUAACGAACGAACGUUCGCUGUCUGCGGCUAACUGACGAACAUCGUUCGUUAAAAUGAACGAACGGACGAACGUCCGCUAAACAACUAAACCGAGCCAAAAAAAAACGCAUCUAGGGUUUUUUUCUUAAGAAAAACCGAGGUUUUUUUUACCUAAAACAAAAAAAAAGGCGGCUCGGAUUGGAUCGGGAAUGGCGGCAGCUCCGGCGAGGCGAGGCAGGGCGGGGCGCGACGGCGGAGCGGCGCGGGCAGCGGCAGCGGCGCUCGGGAGGCGGCGGCAGCUCCGGCUUGGGGCUCUAGGGGGGCCCCGGGUCGGCUUUUAAAGGGGGGGAGGUGGCGGCUUGGGGGAGGGGCGACGGGGUGGCGUCGGCGGCGGCUCAGACUCCCUCGAGGAGUCCGGCUCGGGGACGAAGGCGACGGCGGCGGCGGAGUGGGCUGGCUGGACUUUCGGCCUAGUCGGUCCGAAGCAAAACUUUUUUUUUAAAAACUGACUUCGCCGGAAAAAUCCUAGAAAAUAAAAUAAAAAUCUAAAAAAUACCAAAACAAAUUUUCACCGUCUAAAUAGAAUAUUUAGAACAAAGUGAACAUUUUCUUGUCCCUAAAAUGCAAUUUUGAAAAAUGCUUCUAAUUCAAAUAAAAUUGCGAUAAAAUUCAAAUAAAAUUAUUUAUUUGAUUUUAGUAUUUUUCUUCCAAUAUUUCAUUCAUUUUGGAGAAGUCAUAUUACCUCCUCUCAUAUAUUUUAAUAUGAAAUAUUUUCGGAGAGGAAAAAUAAUUAAAACCAAAUGAUCCUUGUUUCGAUAUUUGAAAAAAAAUUCAAAUAUGAAAAACGUGAAAUCCCCAACUCUCUCCGUAGGUCCUUGAGUUGCUUAGAAUUUCGAGGAUCGCAAAACGAAAUGCAAUAAAAUAUGAUAUGCAUGGAUGACCUAUGUAUAACAUUCGAAAUUGAAAAUUUGGGAUGUUACAAACCUACCCCUCUUAAGUUGAAUCUCGUCCUCGAGAUUCGGGUUGGGUAGAAAAUAGGUGUGGGUGGUCUUUGCGUAGAUCAUCCUCUCGCUCCUAGGUGGCUUCAUCCUCGGUAUAGUGGCUCCACUGAACUUUGCAAAACUUGAUAACUUUGCUGCGAGUAACUCGGCUGGCAAACUCGAGAAUUUUGACCGGUUUCUCCUCAUAGGUCAAAUCACUAUCCAACUGAAUUGCUUCCAGGGGCACUGUAUCUCUCAGAGGAAUAUCGACUGUCUUUGCAUGACACUUCAUCAACUGGGAAACGUGAAACACAUCAUGAACUCCUGACAGCCCUUCGGGUAACUCCAAUUUGUAGGCAACCUCUCCCAUGCGUUCCAAAACACGAUAUGGACCUACAAAUCUCGGGGCUAACUUUCCCUUAACUCCAAAAUUUUUAACUCCUCGCAGAGGUGACACUCGUAGAUAUGCUCUGUCUCCGAUUUCAUAGACUACCUCCUUUCGUUUUGAGUCUGCAUAGCUCUUCUGUCUAGACUGAGCUACCUUUAGUCUGUCUCGAAUCAGCUUAACCUUCUCUUCUGACUCUUUAAUCAAAUCCGGUCCAAACAACCGACGGUCUCCAACUUCAUCCCACAUCAACGGUGUUCUGCACCUUCGUCCGUACAAGGCUUCGAAAGGUGCCAUCUCCAAACUGGCCUGGUAGCUGUUGUUGUAUGGGAACUCUGCGUAUGGCAAAUUGUCAUCCCAACUAGAUCCAUAAUCUAGCGCACAAGCUCUCAACAUGUCCUCCAGAAUCUGAUUGACUCUCUCGGUCUGUCCAUCUGUCUGCGGAUGAAAAGCUGUACUGAACUCUAGCCUGGUACCCAAAGUCUGGUGCAGCUGGUGCCAAAACUUAGUAAGUAAACUGUGUUCCUCUAUCUGAUACGAUGGUCCUCGGAACUCCGUGCAGACAUACGAUCCUGGUCAUAUAUAUCUUGGCCAACUUUGCGCUUGUAUAAGUGGUUUUCACUGGGAUAAAGUGAGCUACUUUGGUCAAGCGAUCCACUACUACCCAGAUAGAAUCAUAUCCCGAUCGGGUCCUGGGUAAUCCAGUGAUAAAAUCCAUGCCAAGUUUGUCCCACUUCCAUUCGGGUAUCGGCAUAGGCUGCAGUAAUCUUGCUGGCUUCUGAUGUUCUGCCUUCACUCUCUGACAUACAUCACAUACGGCUACAUACUCGGCAAUAUCCUUCUUCAUUCCAGUCCACCAGAAACGCUCCUUCAAAUCUAAAUACAUCUUGGUGUUCCCGGGGUGUAUCGAGUAUGGCGAGUCAUGAGCUUCCUGUAGUAUCAACUUCCUGAUCUCAGCAUUGUUGGGCACAUAUACACGGUCCUCAAACCACAAGGUGUCGUGCUCAUCCUCGCGAAAACCUUUGGCUUUUCCUUCACUCAUCUUCUCCUUUAUCUCGGCAAUUUCUUUGUCAUCCUUCUGAGCUUCUCGAAUCUUUCCCAGUAACGUUGACUGAACCUCCAAUGCUGCAACAAAACCUCUAGGGACUAUCUCCAAACGAAGCUCCAUGAGAUCUUCGGCCAACUCCUUUGGAAAUCCUCCGCUCACGAGCGUAUUGGCAUAACUCUUCCAGCUCAAAGCGUCUGCUACGACAUUGGCCUUGCCUGGAUGAUAGUGCAACUUCAUAUCAUAAUUCUUUAUGAGUUCCAACCAUCUCCUCUGCCUGAGGUUCAGCUCCUUCUGAGUGAAAAUGUACUUCAAACUCUUGUGAUCCGUGUACACAUCACAACGGUUUCCAAUAAGAAAAUGUCUCCAGGUUUUGAGCGCAUGCACUACUGCUGCUAACUCCAAAUCAUGCGUGGCAUAAUUCAACUCAUGUGGUCGAAGCUGACGUGAGGCAUAUGAAACAACUCUUCCGUCUUGCAUAAGUACUCCUCCAAGUCCUAAACGAGACGCGUCGCAAUACACUUGGAAAUCCUUGCGUAUAUCCGGCAAAAUUAGCACUGGGGCUGUAACCAAGCGUUUCUUCAACUCCUGGAAACUUGCUUCACAUUCUUCAGUCCAAUGGAACUUGGUGUCCUUCUUCAACAGUGCCGUCAUAGGCUUCGCAAUCUUGGAAAAGUUCUCAAUGAAUCUCCGAUAGUAUCCCGUGAGUCCAAGAAAACUGCGGAUCUCUCCAACUGAGGUGGGUGCCAACCACUCAGUGACUGACUGAACCUUGGUAGGAUCCAUUGCUAUACCUUCUCCUGAUAUAACAUGUCCAAGAAAUCCAACUUCCUUCAGCCAAACUCACAUUUGUUGAACUUGGCAUAUAACUGAUGUUCCCUGAGUUUCUCAAGAACCAAACGUAAAUGCUCCUUGUAUUCUUCUUCAUUCUUCGAGUACACCAAGAUAUCAUCAAUGAACACCAUGACAAACUUAUCCAAGAAUUCCAUGAACACCUUAUUCAUCAUACUCAUGAAAUAGGCAGGGGCGUUAGUCAGUCCAAAUGACAUAACCGUAUACUCAUAUAGCCCGUACCAUGUGGUGAAAGCUGUCUUAGGUAUAUCCUUUUCCCGGAUCUUCAGCUGGUGGUAUCCUGAUCGCAGGUCGAUCUUUGAAAACACUUUAGCUCCUUGUAGCUGGUCAAACAAAUCAUUGAUCAUCGGCAGUGGGUACUUGUUCUUGAUGGUCACCUCAUUCAAGGCUCGAUAAUCAACAACCAUUCUUAAGGAUCCAUCCUUCUUCUCAACCAAGAGCACUGGGGCUCCCCAUGGUGAUGAACUUCGUCGAAUGUAACCUUUCUCCAAUAACUCCUUAAUCUGCUUCUUGAUCUCUUCCAGAUCAUUUGCGGGCAUCCGGUAUGGUCUCUUCGAUAUCGGUCCGGUGCCUGGCAACAGUUCUAUUAGAAACUCGAUGUCUCAAUCUGGCGGCAUGCCUGGUAGCUCCUCUGGAAAUACAUCUGGGUAAUCCUUCACUACAGGCACUUCCUCUUGAACAACUCCCGAGAGAGAAUUUACUUGGGUCCUCCUGGGCGCAUGCCUGGAUACGUACCUGAUCCUUUUUCCCUCCGGGGUGGUGAGUAAAAUAGACUUACUAGCGCAAUCGAUGUUUCCCCCAUACAUCGAUAGCCAAUCCAUUCCUAGUAUCACAUCCAAUCCUUGUGACUCCAAAAUUAUCAGGUCUGAGGGGAAAACAUGGCUUCCAAUGGUCAAUGGCAUCUGAAAACAUCCUUGACUUGCCAUAUACUCCGCUCCUGGUGAGGUUACUAACAUAGGUGUCCCAAGUACUUUAGUGGGCAACAAUUAUUUAUCCACGAAUCCCCUUGAAAUGUAUGAAUGCGAUGCACCAGUAUAAAAAAGAACAAUUGCAGUAAAUGACUUAACCAAAAACUUACCGACAACUGCAUCAGGCUGCUCUUCAACCUCCUCCACGUUCACGUGGUUCACUUGUCCCCUGUUGAAAGGGUUGGGCUUCUUCCCAGAGCUUCCAUUGCCAUUCCCAUUCUUCACUUCAGGGCACUCAGUGGCAUAGUGUCCAGUCUUCCCGCACUUGAAACAAGUAAUGUGAUUUAGAUCCUUCUUGGCGGGCGUUGCUGGGUUAGAGCGGUUCUGAUUGCUGCCUGCUCCAUUCCCAUUUCCAUUCUUGGGGCCACUGUGGUUAUGUGAACUUCCUCCAUUGUGGGUAUGGCCUCCAUGGUUAUGGGUAAAUCCUCCCGAGUUCGGGGUGAAACGGGGCUUCUGCUGAGCUCCAGAAUUGUACUUCCCUUGUCCAUACUUCCUUUUGCGGCUCUCUAUCUGCUGCUGCUUCCCUUCAGUCAUAAGAGCCUUGUCUACCAGUUCCUGGUAGUUGUUAAAUGUUGCCACCAUCAACUGCAUGCUCAUCUCAUCAUUCAACCCUUCCAUAAAUUUCUCCUGCUUCACGACAUCUGUGGCCACAUCAUCUGGGGCAUAGGGAGAUAGCUUACUAAACUCAUCUACGUACUGACCCACAGUACGAUUUCCCUGGCGCAAGUUGCAAAACUCACGCUUCUUCAUGCUCAUAGCUCCAGUUGAGACAUGGGCUGUGCGAAAAGCUUGCUGAAACUGAUCCCAAGUGACAUUGGCUAUAGGUAAAGUGGUCGUGUAAUUCUCCCACCAUGCGGCUGCGGGUCCAUCCAAUUGAUGUGCGGCAAAAUGCACCUUCUCAGCAUCUGUGCAACCUGCGGUGGUCAACUCCCUUCCAAUCCUGCGUAGCCAGUCAUCAGCAACUAUUGGCUCAGUGCUACUAGAAAACACCGGAGGCUGCAACCUCAGAAAGCGAGCUAAGUUGUCAACUGGAGGUGGUGGCGGCGGGUUGUUGUUGUUGUUGCCUUGGUUCUGGACUAAUAUCUGCAUCAAGGCAUUCUGCUGCUGGAUCAACUGGGUGAUCUCCGGUGGGAAGACAAAUCCGGUACCACGUCUCGGAGGCAUCUGAUGGGUUUAGAGGGGAGAGAUUAGAAUAGAAUGAGGUCUAGUGAGAAAGCACUACCCAUAUGCACAUGAGAUAAACACAAUCAUAUCACAAAAGUGCACAUGAGAUAAGCAAGGGCAUACAAUCGUUCUAGAACUAUCGUGACAAAAGUGCUCGGGCUACUACUAUAUACAUGGGGAAAUACUACUAAUCAUAUGGUGGUCAUCUAGAAAUUUUGAUCGGUGGAAGACUCCAUGAUAUCCGCUCCAGCUUCGUCUUCAUAAUCAUCAUCACUACCAUCAGGGUCGGAGUCGGUGUCGUCGAUGAUGAUGUAGUCUUCAGAACGAAUUUCCUUGGGUUCGUCGUCUUCUCCUCCUGGCGCGGGGUCUCCCAUAAAAACUCCUAGCUUCCUUGUCAGGUCGUCAUUCUUCUCCACGAGUAUCAUUAUUUCCUCCUCAUAUCCAUCGCGUGUAGACUUGAGUUCCUCUUCUAGCUCCGUGAUCCUGGUCAUUGCCUUCUUCAGAUCUAUCAUGCCUGUGCACAUCUGAUUCUCCUGCCGACGAAUGUGCUGGUUUAGCUCCUGGAUGAAAGCUGCAAUGGACCUGUCCCUCCUGGUGCUGACUAUCUCCCAUUGCUCAUCUCGGCGCCCACAUAUUUGGUAGAUAGUAUCCUUGAGAUCCUUGUGAUAAACUUCGCCAAUGCGUCCCAUGGCGAUGUGGGCUGCCAUGCUCUUUCCUAGACUCCAGGUUGGUGCAUCAAAGGAAAACUCUAUGGGUUCAGUGACUGGCGUGAAUGUCCUUCCUGGAACUUGAACUCGAAUCAUCCAGCGCUCCUCUUCUGGUAAAGUGGUGGUGUAGGUCCCGGUGAAGCUCGGUAUUCCGAUGUUCAGGUACCUAGUGAUUUCCUUCAAGUGUCGUCCAAAGGGUGUGUCUUCAUCCGGUUGUGCAAACUUGUUCCUUGAGUCCGCCAUCCUAAAGAGUAGAAAAUGGAGAGGAGUCAGAAAUGAGUAGAGAAGAGUGACCUAUGACUCAUCUUAGUGGUCGUGUCCUACAUUCAGAGUGUGCUCUGAUACCAUCUUGUAGCGAUCCGACCUCAGACGGUCAAAUCUCUGUGUUCAGUGUCAUCCCUGGAUCGGUAAUGCUGACACACACAGUACUUGAAUGGAUUUAUAACAGAGUAGCAAUCACACACUUAUUACAUCGAAUGUCUCAAGAGAGAGAACUUAUUACAAUAAAUAUGGCUUAAGGCCAUCUAAAAAAGAUAACAGCGGAAGGCUUAGAAGAUAAAGUGAGUCCAUCAACUCCAACGGCAUAGCUGAGUGCAUGACAACAACCUAGCGCACCUUACUCGUCUUAAAAGUCUGCAACAUGAUAUGUUGCAGCCCGAAACGGGUCAGCACAUGGAAUAUGCUGGCAAAAUAACACAAUAGAGCAAUGAACAGAUAAAUGCUAUCACUACAUGCAUAUAUGGCUGGUGAAGGCUAUAUGGUUAUAAUGUUUUGAGAAAAGCCAGUUUUUCCCUACAACAAAGGAAUAUGCUUUAUUUAACUAUCAUGCUGGUUGAAACAUCAUUGAGAAGGUUCCUCCAACUCAAUCCCAAUUAAAGUAGUCAUUAUCAUCCCAACAAAUUAAUUUAGAGUGAUGAGAUCAAACCAAUAAUUCAAGUACCAGAUACUCAAGAUGUCCAUAACCAGGGACACGGCUAACCAUGAUUAGUUUAUAUACUCUGCAGAGGUUUGCCCACGUUUCCCCACAAGACUCGAUCUUCUCCGUUGGAUUUCUCGCACUACAUGGUGUUUGAGAAACGGAUGACCGAGACACAGUCUUUCAGAAACAUUAACUCUUUACUCUGGGUAGACAGUUACACCUACUUUCCCUCUACAUCUGCUAGCCUACCACUGAAAGAGGUCAUGCAACCUACUCAACUAUGCUAGAGCCCAUAAUAGCUUGUGGCUGCACACGGAAGUUUCUAGCAUGAAUAAUCUUAUGAUCCCUUCGAGCCUGGGUGGCGGACCAUAGGAUGAUCACAUGGGUACUCCGGGAUAUCCUAGGACAACACUGGAUUCUCCAGGAGGUGCCCAAACCAACAAUCCACCCAGAUGUGUAUUCAAGUAGCCACCUUAGGUUAACCAUUAAUAAACAAUAUCACAUCUGUCAUGGAUUCACUCAAACCCAAUCCACGUCUACGAGCAUAGCAUGGCAAUAUAAGCAUAACGUAGUAGUAACUCCCAGGGUUUGAUAAUAAACAGGGCAACAGGUUCUACCUCAUCAACUACUUCCCAAAACCCACAAGUUAAUCACAUCCUAAUCAUGCAGUGUUUGAGGAUUGUAACUAAUGCAUAAAAACUGGGUAUGAAAAGAGUAUGAUCAAUGUGUUACUUGCCUUGCUGACGAUCUGCAAAUCCUAAAGACUCGAGGUAGCACGCUUCGCACUUCGGGAAUUCUAUCGCAAACAAACAAUAGCAUACAUAAGCAAUUAAGCAAAGAUGCAUGGGUAAAACUCAAAUAAGAAGAUCUAACCAGAAAGUUCAACUAAAGAACUCCGGUUUGCAAAAAGAAUCAAAUCAAACGGAGCAACGAAACUCAAACCACGAAAGAAACAAGAUCUAAUCUGGACUAAAGUCAAAUUUUACAGUACCAAAAUCUUGCUCAAGUUGGUUAAACAGAAAGAGGGCUUCGAGACGAAGAUCUAGGCGCUUGUUUCACCUGAUUUGGAUAAACGAGCGAAAAGAUAAAAUAAAACAAAGAUCAGGGCAGAAAUCGCGAUCGAAAAUAAUCGCUGAAAAACCCUGGAAAAUAAAAGGAGACGAACAGGCUAACGAUCGAACGUUCGCUGUCUGCGGCUAACUGACGAACAACGUUCGUUAAAACAAACGAACGGACGCUAAACAACUAAACCGAGAAAACCGAGCCAAAAAAACACAUCUAGGGUUUUUUUACCUAAAACAAAAAAAAC
rnacentral:lncRNA from 1 species